UGAAUACGAGAUGCUACGGCGUCGAAGCAGUGUAUGUCAGACUUCCAAGAAAAGCUUGCAAUGUCAUAAAUAAAGAAUGCCUGUACCAUAACCGACACAGGUGGGUAGGUAGAGUAUACUAAGGGGCGCGAGAUAACUCUCUCUAAGGAACUCGGCAAAAUAACUCCGUAACUUCGGGAGAAGGAGUGCCUUCUUUAAGAAGGUUGCAAUAACAAGAUCCAAGCAACUGUUUAUCAAAAACACAGGUCUCCGCUAAGUCGUAAGACGAUGUAUGGGGGCUGACGCCUGCCCAGUGCCAGAAGGUUAAAGAAGCUGGUUAGCAAUAGCGAAGCUGGUGACUGAAGCCCUGGUGAACGGCGGCCGUAACUAUAACGGUCCUAAGGUAGCGAAAUUCCUUGUCGGGUAAGUUCCGACCCGCACGAAAGGCGUAAUGAUUUGGAUACUGUCUCGGAGAGGGACUCGGUGAAAUAGACUUGUCUGUGAAGAUGCGGACUACCUGCACCAGGACAGAAAGACCCUAUGAAGCUUUACUGUAACCUGAAAUUGAAAUUGGACUUUAUUUGCGCAGUAUAGGUGGGAGGCGUUGAAAGUAAUCUUGCGGGAUUAGUGGAGCCAUCAGUGAGAUACCACUCCUAUAAUGUUAGAUUUCUAACUUUGGAUCAUGAUCUGGUCAAAGAACAGUUUCAGGCGGGCAGUUUGACUGGGGCGGUCGCCUCCCAAAUGGUAACGGAGGCGUACAAAGGUUUCCUCUGAACGGGUAGAAAUCGUAUCUAGAGUGUAAAGGCAUAAGGAAGCUUGACUGUGAGACCUACUAGUCGAGCAGGGACGAAAGUCGGUCUUAGUGAUCUGACGGUGCUGAGUGGAAAGGCCGUCACUCAACGGAUAAAAGUUACUCUAGGAUAACAGGCUGAUCUCCCCCAAGAGUUCACAUCGACGGGGAGGUUUGGCACCUCGAUGUCGGCUCAUCGCAUCCUGGGGCGGUAGUACGUCCCAAGGGUUGGGCUGUUCGCCCAUGAAAGCGGUACGCGAGCUGGGUUCAGAACGUCGUGAGACAGUUCGGUCCAUAUCCGGUGUAGGCGUUAGAAUAUUGAGAGGAGCCUUCUCUAGUACGAGAGGACCGAGAAGGACAUACCUCUGGUGUACCAGUUAUCGUGCCAACGGUAAACGCUGGGUAGCUAUGUAUGGAGAGGAUAACCGCUGAAAGCAUCUAAGUGGGAAGCCCACCUCAAGAUGAGUAUUCUCAUC
rnacentral:rRNA from 1 species